CAAAGAUUUCAGAGCCAGGUGGGAGGGUGCGAUGCAAGAGGCUUAUCUCGGGCCUGCAAAGUGAAUAAUUAGUGGCAAGGGCUCCUAAAGAGGCCACGCCCUCAGAGGAAAGGUGGGCUGAGGACAACCUCCUGCUAUCAAAAGCAGAUAGUGAGGGUGCUGGCUUCGGCAGCACAUAUACUAAAAGCAGAUAGUGAGGAAAGAUGUUUUCUUGAGUCUGUGGAGGGCGAUAAAACAUCUCCCCCAGGAGUGGUAGCGUCAGGCUCACCCUCACAGAGGCUUUCGGCCCACAUGUGCAUUCAUUUUGUAGCCCAGAAAAGCUGUUAGUUAGAAAGUCAGUGGUGCCCAGAGCAGCCUAGCAAGAACAAGGGAAAAAUGGAAACAUAGGGACCCAGCAAAUGUGAGCUCACACAGAAAGCAAAAACCUACAAGAAAAGAAACAACCAUGAUUGAGAGGCAGCAGGCACAAUCUGCGACUACAGAGGCCGAAGACCUGACAACUGAUCUCACAGGAUACAGGGUCCCCACUGCCUGGGGACCACAGCACCUAUCAUCAGAGCCCAAGGUCCCUCCAUCCGGGGUUCCAGGUAAACACACAGAUACCACAUGUCCCUUCAGGAUGGUGGGAGUACUUAACCCUAGUUCCUGGGAGCCAGACCACUUCCUGCAUUCCUGGUGCUGCUCUGGGAUUUCCAGGGAGCAGAUGCCAAGACAGGACCCAGCGUGGAGGAUUUUUAAUAGGGGAACCACCUGUGUGGGAGAAAGCAGGGAGGUGGCCCUAAGGCUGGGAAAGUGCAACCAGGGUGAGGUUCUCACCGUGAGUACAGUAGAGUGGAAAGGCAGUGUGCUGGUCAUGCCAUCUGAGAAAAGCCUGGCAUGGCCUCCAGGGAACCCUUCUACCAUUUCUCAUCAGAGGACCGUCCGAUGUGCCAACAACAAGCCUGCAGAGAUCGCAAUCCUGGGGAGCAGCCCAAAGCUUUGGUGUAAAUGAACCACUGGAUUUCAGCUCUCAUUUGCUGGGCCUUUGGACAAUUCCUCUCCCUACAGCAAGCUCAGUAGGUAUACAAAACACCCUAUGUAACAACUUUUGCCUACAGUCAAAUAAAGAUUGCAGCCCCAACAUUGUAACUGUUUUUUUCAAGGACAUUUGAUAUGUUAACAAAAGAUUAAGUA
ensembl:lncRNA